rnacentral:tRNA from 9 species
GGGUGCUUAGCUCAGCUGGGAGAGCAUCGCCCUUACAAGGCGAGGGUCGGAGGUUCGAGCCCUCCAGCACCCACCA